rnacentral:tRNA from 1 species
GCGCCCGUAGCUCAAUUGGAUAGAGCAACAGACUUCGGAUCUGUAGGUUUGGGGUUCGAAUCCCUUCGGGCGCACCA